GAAGAUCCCUUUUUGGUGAAGCAUUCCACUGUGAACCUGAAAUCUUCUGAUAUGAGGACUAGAAGCCUAUUGUUUACUCAGUUAUCCAUCCGAAGUUAGGACAUUUGUAGCAGGUGAUGGAGUGCUGGCCCUCAAGACAGUUCAAAGCUAAAAAAAAAAAAAUGCUGGUGGUGACACUGAACUUAAAGCAAGGAGACUGGCUAAUGGAAAUGAUUAUGGAAGUGGAAGUGACAGCUGCUGAAGUGGAAGGGAAAACUGAAGAUUUAAAGUGCCGAAAAUAUAUGAGGAUGCUGAUGAAUAGCAUUGAAGUUUGAGGAACGCUGCUCAUAGCUGACUAGUUAAACAGUGAAAGGUUGACUACUGCUCUCUGAAUCUGAUGAUCUAAGUUUACUCCCCAUCUUGUAGGAAAAAAAAUCUCUCUUCUGAGACUUUCUAUGCAGUAUUGGUUUCCCAGCAGGUACUAAAGUGGUUCAAGCGUUCUUUGAGAGCUAAGAUGUGACUGUAAUAUCUUCCAGCUGUCUAAGAUUUUGUCUACUUUUCUGGAUAGCUCUAGCUGUUCAUUAACAUCUCUCUUUUUGACUUGUUUCCAAUGCUGUUUGACUACUGUAGGAAAGCUGAAUGUAUUCAUAUUGUUUAUUUAUGCAGAUUUUUCAUCUUCUAAAAAUCUAUUUCCAUUUGUCUGAACUCCAUUCAUGAAAACUGUUGUUUUCACUUGUUGCCUGAUGUUGUCAGGUAGCACCAAUGUUCAUUCUCAGCAGCCUUCUCUGUGAAGAUCACUGUUUGUAGAAAUCAAAGCCCUCUGCUUACUGCAGAGCCAUGAGCUAUCUAUUCCUGCCAUAGCCCUGCCCUGCCUGUAGUUCCUGCCCUAUUGAUUGAGGAAAACAUCCUGCAGGCCCCUCUUCUCUUUAACCAAGUCCUCAGAGCCAUGUAAUUGCUCUUGUACUCCUCAGCCUCACUUAGAACUAUUUAUAUGUGGCAAUAUGAAUGGGCAAAAACGAGCACUAAUUCAAGAGCUAUGAGUUUCAAAAUUCACUGAAAUGUUGGGAAUCCAGACCCAGAAAAAGGACCAAAUCUCCUGAAACAAUAAAUCUUCUUAGAAGAUGUAUUUGCGUGCCAACAUUCAUCUUUUUCUAUGUGCUGACCUGUUCUUACUUUUUUUUUUAGUAUAUACAUGCAGAGAACAAUGAAGCUAAACUACUAAUUUCACUAAGCUUGCUGAAAAUAAACCUAUUUACAAAAAUUAAUUGCUUCCCAACCCCUUCCCCAAAUAGCAACUCUUUCCUACCUUUCCCCCUAAGGAAGAAAUGACUUCAUUUGCCUAACUGGAAACUUCUUGUUGGAAGUAAUUUUAUGAAAGUUAUAUUUGAAGAAAGAUGAUCUGCUUCUUAAUGUGUACUGUUAAAGUACCAGAUUCACAUCCAGAACUAUAUCCUUCUCAAUAAAAAUAUUGUGUCAAUUCUAUGCUCCUAAACUUUAAGAGCUCUUUCUUAUAGACUCUUACAGCUUAUUUCCUGACACUUCAGUAUAUGUGCAGCUUGGCCUAGAAGUCUGGAUUAAAAGGUAGCUGAGUUUCAAGCCUAAUGAAUGUGAAGGGCCAGUUUUCAUGAAUCAUUUUGCCCCAGACUUGUUUGAUGUUCAUGGAACCUUACAGAGAUAAAGGAUUGAAGUUUCAGACCUGGUGCUGCUUAGCCAUCUGCAUUUGAAUAUUUCUUUAAGUAAGAGUUUAGGUAGCAGAAUAACUGGACUGAAGUUCUCUGCCUAUGGAGCUUUGAGUUCUUUGUAUUUAGGAAAAUGUCUGAUUCUGUAGCAAUUGAAGUAAAGAUUUAGUUUCCUAUAAUUAGGAAAUCAGCUUCAGAGUUUAGCUCUUGGUACAGAAUGGAUAACUUAAAAGAUAAAGGGGAAGAAAGUAGGAAGUCUUAAAGACUGAAAAAAAUUAUAAUGGGAGACAGCAGAAUAUUCAGGCGCUCUAUCCUUAUUCUGCAGUCAGACUUUUGCGAGCUGACUUAGAAAAGGGAAUUCUUCUGGAAAUUGAUGUAAAAUCAUAAAAUGAGAUAUCAAAAUAAUUAUUUCAAGAACCAUGUCAAUCAUUAGCAUGUUUUGUUCACAAGGGAAACUGAGAAAUACUUAAGCUAGACUAUGGUAUUGUACUUCAGUGCUUAAGGGAGGAGUUUGCCUUACUUAAAGCAAAAUGUCCAUUCUUCCAUUAAAACAGCUGCAUAAUACUGUUUGGUUUGUCUCUAAACACUGACUUACAUUCCAGCUGUAUAACAUUUCCGCUACAAGUUUUGAAAGAAAACUGUUUCACCAACUUCUUUCCCUAUGCUCAGCUACUUGAUGAGCUGAACCAGAUAGAGAAGGCAGAUUAUCUCCCUAAUUGCCUACCUAGUUAAACCACAGUGCAUGAUCAAGUGCAACACAUCUAUUCAUGCUCUUGUGCUGCAGUGAGAUGGGAGAGAAAAAUCAGAAAAAGGUAGAACUUGUGUUGAGACAAAUGCAGUUUAACAGGACAGAAAAGGAAUGGAAAAUAAUGAUAAAAGAAUAUACAAAAUUAGUGAUGCAAAAUGCAACUGUUUUACACCUGACAACUGAUGCCUAGAUGCCAUAUAGUAAGAGAUAUCCCUUUGACCAGUUUGGGUCAGCUGUCCUGGCUCUGUCUCCUCCCAACUUCUUGUACACCCUCACUGUCCUCUCUGACAGGGGUAUAUGAUAACCUGAGAGGUCCUUGACCUGGUGUGAGCACUGCUCAGGAAAAGCCAAAACAUCAGUAUGUUAUUAAUAUUAUUCUCAUCCUAAAUCCAAAACACAUCACCAUAUCAGCUGCUAGGAAGAAAAUUAACUCUAUCCCCUUAUUCUACAUAUUCUACAGGUGCCAUGCUUUUUAGUGCAUUGCAUUUAAUCACCACCGCACUUCCAUGAUUAGUUCUCUAAUACAACUUAUAAGAAGUAGAUUUAAGAAUUUUAUCUUCUAACUUCUUUUUCUCACAGUGAUACCUUUUUACUUUUCUCUGUUGCUUCAAGGAAAUUUAUGCAAGGUUUGCUAUGGAGAAAGCCUUUUUGUUUUUGAAUGAUUGUACCACUAUCUCUGACUGAUGUGACUUUCAUUGUUAAUAAUUUGGCUGGUUAGUGUUGUGCUGUUACACUGCUAGGAAAGCUAACAGUAAUUAAGUAUUUAUAAGCAUUAUAGUUUAUGCCCAUAUACUUGUAUAUAGGAUUCCAUAUUGUGUUAUUUGCUAGUGUGUAUUUUGUGAAUGUUGAAAUAUUCUAGGCAGAAUCCUGGAUUCACAGAAGUCUUCCAGUUAUGUUGAAUGUGGCCACGUCUUGUGGUGCUCUAAUGAUGCUGAUGUCUGAAUGCUGAAGUAUUGUGGAACUUGCAUAAACAUCAAUAUGAGACUGAACUAUUAAAACAAAGUCCAAAGUAAGUAUC
rnacentral:lncRNA from 7 species